CGGCGUCUCUUCCAUCCUUUGGAACAAGCCGAAUGACAAACAAGGGAGUGGAUCUCAUGUUGCAGAUGAAGUAAGGUUCCAAUCUGAAAACCCAUAGAAUAGUGUCAAUAAAAGUUGUUUCUUGGGUCUAUUAGUAAAGCCAAUUGUGGUGCCAUGGAUGAUAUGAGUGAAAAGGAGCCUCUUGACUCUAAUUUAACGUUAAA